GGGGUGUGCUCUGAGCAGGGAGGCUGGAAAAUGGCUUCUCUGUUUACAACACCCCCAGCAGGAAUCUGGGGUCAUUGAGAUGAAGGCACAAAACUUGUGGCCUCCCUGUGAACAAAUUCCCUACAUGG